rnacentral:snoRNA from 1 species
CCGGCAAUGAUGAUUGGCGCAGGGGUACGGACCUCAGCAGAAUCAUGGGAGCUGAAUGUAAACGUUCCUCUGUCCUGCGCGUGGCGGGAUGUCUUGGGACGUUUACAUGAGAAUGGUGCCUAACUCUGAGCCGC